rnacentral:lncRNA from 1 species
GUAUCCGCCCUCCCCCUUUUUUUUGGGGGUUUCUAGAUCAUGUUUUUCACUUGUGAUUCUUUUCCAUCUUUGACUUUGUUACCCAUGAUUUUGAGAUGGAAAUUUCCAGGUCUAUCUUCACCAUGAACUCUUACUUUCUUCAUUGUUUUAAAAGCUAUCAAAUGCAGGUGGAAGGCUUAUUAUUGCUUCUGAUGGAAUCUGGGAUGCCCUAUCCUCAGAAAUGGCUGCACAAUGUUGCCGUGGAUUGCCGGCUGAACUCGCUGCCAGACAAGUGGUGAAGGUAAUUUAAUUUGUUGUUUUACUACGUAUUUGUUGCCAGUUCUUUUUAGAAGAACGUGUUAACAUAGCUUUUGAGUAGUUUAUUGUCGUUUAGACGAUUGCGUAGAAUGUUUUCUCACUGCAUUUGAUGGAUCACUAUUUAGGAAGCAUUAAGGACAAGGGGACUGAAAGAUGAUACAACUUGCAUAGUUGUUGACAUAAUUCCUCCUGACAAUACGAUGCAGCCUCAGCCUCCUCCCAAAAAGCAGAAUAAGCUGAGAGCGCUGCUAUUUAGGAAGAAGUCCCUUGAUUCUGCAAAUAAACUAUCAAAGAAGCUUUCAGCUGUAGGAAUAGUUGAAGAACUGUUCGAAGAAGGCUCGGCAAUGCUCGCCGAAAGGUUAAUGCUGUCUCCUUUGCAUGUGUAAAUGUUCAUUUUGUCAUUGGAAAGGCUCAAAAGUAUUGCUCGGAUUUUCUAAAUCUAGUUCUCAAUCGCUUAGUACUUCAGUUACAACUUAAAUUUGGGCAUUUAAUUAUUCACCAAGUUUGUUUCCGUUUGUACUUCAAUGUGUGAGAACUUUCUCACAUAUAUUUGGUUGCAUCUAUGUCAUAAUUUUUAAUGCAUUUUGCAGACUGGGUAAUGAAGAACCUGUGGUGCAAUCAACAUCUGGCCUUUUUACAUGUGCUGUAUGCCAAAUCGACCUUGCUCCGAGUGAGGGAAUCUCUGUUCAUGCUGGUUCCAUCUUCUCCACUAGCUCAAAGCCCUGGCAAGGGCCUUUCCUCUGCGCUGAUUGCCGAAAUAAGAAGGAUGCCAUGGAAGGAAAACGCCCUAGUGGAGUUAAAGUAGCAUAACUCCUUUAUUGUAACCUCCUUAUUCUUUCCCACUUCAUUCUAUUUUUUUGUGCCCACUUUCCAUUAGGCUAGUGAAUUGUUUGAAUCUUACCAUAGUGCUACAUCAAUUGUAUAUGUAAUAUAUGCAAAUAAUGUAAAAUGAGUUUUAGCGCCUCAGGGAGAGCUGAUUGAUUGUUGGGUGUUCCUUUGGAAUUCCAAAACUUUUGGCGGUCUUGUUUUUUGCGUUAGUGCUAACUAAACCACGAAGAUUAUAAAUAAAGAUUACUAUGUGCCAAAGCAGUGGAACUCUAGUGAAAACUGCGUCAUUCUUUGUUGCCUGAUAUUUAUUGAAAUGGACGUCUCUAAUUCCAUAUUUAUCGAAAAUUGCACCAAUUUACAAAGUAGAUAGAGGGAGGAAAACAGUGCAUUCUGAUACCUAAUGGUAUUUUUACAAUGUUAUUAGUAUACUUUUUGAAGAGUCUGCUAUACUUUGUAUAGUUGAAGAGUCUGCUGGUGAGCCCGGCGAAGAUAAGAAGGGCUUGGGUGGGAUUUGCAAGGAAUCGAGGCUUCCUUCCAACAUUUCCACUACUCUACUCAUUGUUGGCCGGCUUGAGGGGUUAGUCUGUAUGCACCACAAGCUUACAAUUAUCAUCUUCCUUGCAUAUUCUUUAUCUCGUUCAUUUUCAAUGCCUUGCAGUCCAAGUUCUUCAUCCUUUUCUAGACGCUUGUAAAUCCAAUGCGGAAAGUAUACGUCACUGCUUCCAUUAUCCCCAACAUCAACGUUCUUUCUUCCUCCAGUCAUUUCGAAAAUCAUCAUUCCGUAGCUAUAAACAUCCGACUUGUAAGAGACUUCCCCAAUAUUUCUACAGAAUACUUCUGGAGCAAUAUACCCAACAGUCCCCCGUGCACCCGUCAUUGAGAUGAUACUCUCUUUCCUGUUGCAGAUUUUAGCUAGGCCGAAAUCAGAGAUCUUAGGACAGAAGUCUUCAUCUAGGAGAAUGUUAUGAGGCUUGAUGUCAAAAUGCAGAAUUUGUGUACUGCAGCCAAGGUGCAAGUACUCUAAUCCUCGAGCUAUGCCUACUGCAAUUUGGAGCAAUGUUUCCCAGGUCAAUUUAUGAUUUUCUAUCGAUGAGCUGUUUCUAUAAAUGAACUUCUCCAGAGAUCCAUUGGACACAAACUCGUAGAUGAGAGCUCUUCUGUGACCCUCAAAACAGAAUCCUAAAAGAGCGACGACGUUAACAUGGGAAGUCCUGCUAAUGCUAGCAACCUCAUUGAUGAAUUCUUCACCAUUUCCUUUUGAAUCAUUUAAGACUUUUACUGCCACAUUACGACCGUCAAGUAGUUUUCCUUUGUAAACACUUCCAUAGCCUCCUUGGCCAAGUUUAUAUUUGAAAGAAUUGGUCAUUUUCUUAAUAUCUACAUAGCUAUAUCUUCUAGGAGCUAGAGAUCCAUAAUUCCUUAAAAAUGUCUCAAUGUUCAGACAACUUCCAGUGGAAUCGUAUGAUGAAAAUUUUCUAUAGAAUACGAUCCAGAAGGACAAAAGUGCGAUCAGGACAAUUGAUCCGCCACCUAAUGUGCAAAAUGAAAAGCUUUAAUUUUUUUCACCAACAUGGUGCUGUGCUGGAAAACACAAAUUACAAAUGAAAUUUCUUUUCAAUUCCCAUUGAAGGCUGCAGAGAAAUUUAUGCAGCAGAGAUUAGAGAGGUAUAUUACCUAGUCCCAGGCCUAGCUUUAAUUCCGAUUUUUUAUGUCCUGCAACACAAACACAAAGAAAAUGGUGUUAGUUUAGACAAUAAAUAGAGCAGUUAUAAUUUAGGCAAUAAAUACAGCAGUUAUGUAAUCAGAGCAUCCAAAUUCUUGACAGCAUCGCACAGAAACAGAGAGACUGCACAUCUCAAACUGAUAUUUUUAUCUUCCUGAGAUGAAUUAGCGGCUUCUUCCAAUCCCGGGUAAGGAGCCAGUUGAAAUAACCAAAUAAAGAAAUCAGUGUAGAAAGAGAGGAAUUCGUUUGUGGCAUGCUAUCGAAAUAGACCUAGCUUUUACAACUGUUUAAUAAUGUGAGUAGUACAGAGCAGAAAGACUAUGAACGAACGUGUAUAUGUUCAUGAAGAUGAACUAGUCCUAAUACCUUACGUAAAUUUUGAUACCUGUCCAUUCGAUUUUACAUUGAAAAUUUCCCUUGUCAUCAAUAUGACAAUAGCCUCGUUUCUUAUGACAAUCAUUACAUUCUCUUGUUUCAGCACAUUGAAAAUUUCCCUCGCUAUCACUUUGACACUGACCCCAUCUCCAGCGACAUUCCCAACAAACCCGAUCUACUACCACUUGAAGAGAGAAAACUGAAGUUAACAUAUUGAACAAGUCACCAGAUUUUCUAGUCUUAUUCACUGGGAGCUGAAUCAGUGAACAGUUAGGUGGAAGAAUACUUGGUAAAGCCUCAUCCGGGUGAUUGUAAUAAAUAAAGGAACUAUUGUUGCAGGUAGAAUUGAAACUUGUGAGCUUUUUCUCAAGCUUGUGGGUGCAUCUGAAGAGGCUUAGAUUUGAUUUGAUCUCAAAAGAGAGAGAAGCAGAGCUGGGGAGAGAUAAAUUUUUGAAGGAUUCACAGCUACGCUCGUUCAAGUGACUUUGAAACACUUGGUCUUCAAGUGUAAUUGAAACAUCCUGAGCGAUGUUUAAAAUAUUAUAAAACGGCCCGGCCUUCCCCAAUCGAAUUCUCUGAACUGGUUCGUUGCAGUUAUCUACUACCAUCAACCCACAUUCAGGAUGCGUCUGAUUGGUGAAAGGAAAGAUAAAUUGACUGAGAUUUCCACAGGGGGGAAAAGAAGGUGGACAUGUUUUAUUCAGUUCACGUUCUUCUUCAGCCGAAGAAAGAAGUAAAAGUUGGGAGAUAACAAAGAACACAAGAAACGAGUAACAAGCCAUUAAUAUUCCAAAAUCCUUGGGGACAGAAGCAAUAACAGCUACAUACACGUAGGAUCAACCGCGUGGUUUCUUUAUUGUGUUGUUUCUGAUAUCGCUGCCCCUCCAUAAUUUCAAUGUUUAUCCUUCAAAACACGCAAGUUGACUUGGAAAUUCAUAGAGUAGACCGGAAGAAAUAGACUGACAGCAAGUAAUGGUUAUGGUAGUACAUGUAGAUCAGGCAUAGCCAUUGGCCAAUGAACUCUUUGCUAAGGAAAAUGCUAAGGAGCGAGAGGGAGAGGGACGAGAGAAGGACGACAGAAACAGCAUUCUCUCCUGCCGUUUCCCUCUCGUUUCUCUCACUCAUUAAACAUUAAAAAAAAAAAAAAUAAACAAAUGGCGUUGGAAUGUAAACAUUCCUCUCUCUUCACUUUUUCAAUUCCCCAUUUCACUUUUCUCUCUCUUUCACUUUUUCACUUUCCCUCACGUCAAACUUUCCUCUCUCUUUCACUUUCAUUUUCCUCCAUUUUCCCCAGUUCUCACUCAGCUUCACUUUCAGGCUUCUUCUCACGCAGCUUCACUUUCAGGCUUCACUAUCAGGCGUCACUUUCGUCUUCCUCAGCUUUCACUUUCCUCUCUCACGCAAAUCAUGGCCUUCCUCUCUAGCCAGCAACCGAUCACGACCUCCUCCCUCUUUCCCUCUCUCGGCUCUCUCGACAAAGAUUAAGUGAGCAGUGGCUUUUUUCAGCUUGUUCUUUUUAUUUUAAUUUUUUGUUAUGUGAAAGAUCUGGCGUGGAAUUUAAGUGUAUUGUGGAAGUUAAGUUCUUUUUGUUUUAAUUUUUUGUUAUGUGAAAAAUCUGGCGUGGAAUUUAAGUGUAUUGUGGAAGUUAAAUUUGUUUUUUUUUUUUUGUGUUGUUGCUGGAUCUAGUUGUAAUUUAAGCUUCUGGAAUUUAAACAAUGUAAAUUUUGUUGCGGAUUAUGUUAUGAAUUUUGUUUGAUUUUAACUUUGGUGUUUAUGUUGUGAAUUUUGUUGCGGGUUAUGUUAUGGUAUGCAGAAUUUAUUUCAAUACUAUUUGUUUCAAUAAUUAAAACCAAACAUUGAAUAAACAAAUAAGUUUUCCUACCAAUCAACAACUACGUCAACUGUGUAAUGUUUGCGAGAUGCUAUAAUCAAGAGGCUCUGGAUAACCACACGCAACCAACCACACUGCUUUAUAAAUCUGCAAGUUUGCAUAAAGAUGGGCAAGAAAAAAGGAAAAGAAUCAACUCUACAUAUCCAAUAAGAUGCAAAAAUGUCAUGCAGCAUUAUGCAGUUAAAUUUGCAUCUGAGUACAACAAGUCCAGCCGUGAGGGAUCUGGAAGCGUGAGGGAAAGAACAGGUCCAGCCGUGAGGGAGAGAACAAGUCCAGCCGUGAGGGAUCUGGAAGCGUGAGGGAGAGAGAAGCUGCUGAGGCAAGCCGGAACCGUCAGGGAGAGAAGCUGGUGAGGAGUGGAGGCACGCCGGAAGCCGUGAGGGAGAGAGGAAAGUGAGGGCUGGACUUGUUCUCGAUAAGAUUUUUCUAUACACGAAGUGAUAUUUCAGUCUUUCUUUAUUCAUUUUUUAUUCGUUCUUUUAUUAUUUUAAUGCUUUAUGUAGUGAGAGGAACGAGAAACAAAACGGCAAAAGAGAUUGCCGUUUCUCUCGUCAUUCUCUCGUUUCUCUCGCUACCUAACAGCACUCCUUUGCUAAUAGGUCGGCACGGACUACAACUCUAUUUUCCCAUUAAUUAAUUACUACCACAAACAAAGCCUUGACUCCUUGACUCUUCAAAAGCUACAUAAAACAAAAUAAAUAAAUAAAUAAAUAAAAAUAUCGCGAUAGGCUCAAGUCGUCCUCUGUGCUUCGUUCUCACGUCACGUCUGGACGAACGCGUGGAAGAAACCGAAAGAUAUUGACUCUGUGAUUCUUUUCUAAUUAGAAAGAACAGGUAGAUACUUGCCAUAUAAAACUCCUACGCGACUAUGAAACUAAAUUGUCACAAUCCAAAAUCCUAACAAGAUUCUACGCUACACACAACAGAUAGAAUUUCACACUAGAAACUGAAAGAGAAUCCUUGAGAGGAACAGAUGAUUCCAUUUCAUCUCAUCUCAUCUCAUGGGAUCUUCACUGUUCUAAUCAUAUUAUGCCAUGACUGUUUGUAUGAAUGAGUUUUGUAUAGAUCGUAAAGAAAUGAUAAGUAAAACUUGAGAAGUUGUGAGAACCUUACCGUAACUAUCUGUAGCUACUAUUCUAUUUGAACACUGAAGAUACCCCUUGCUGUUAAUUAGACAUUGGCCUCCUCCUCUCGAAGGACAGUCAAUACAUUGUCGUCUUGCACGCCAGUUAGGUUGUACUUUUAGAGAGAAAUUGCCAGUUAACAGAUCAAACAAGUCAGACGCGUAGCGAGUCUUACUCACUGCCACUGGGAGCUGAAUAAGUGAACAAUGAGGUGGAAGACUUGGUAGAUCGUCGUCAUCUGGGUGAUUGUAAUAGAUCGUGGAGUCAUCACAGGACAUAUUGAAACUCAUGGGAAUAUUGCCAAGAAUUGUGGGGCAUUUGAACAGGGUUAAAUUUGAUAGGAUUUCAAAAGAGAUGGAAGGAGAGCUGGGAAGGGACAUAUUUUUGAAGGAUUCACAGCUGCGGUUGUCCAAGUGCCUUUGAAACACUUGAUCAUAAAGUGUAACAGUUUGAUCCGCAGAGAUGCUCGUGACAGAUAACCAUGGCUCAUUCUUUCCCAGUUGAAUUUUUUGAACUGGCUUGUCGCAGUCAUCCACUAAGCAGAAUCCACACUCAGGGUGUGUUCGUUUAGAGUAGGGGAAGUUGAUAUUGCGGAAUUUUCCACAAGAAAAAGAUGGACAACCUGGAUUGAAUCUCAUUUGUUCUUGAGCUAAGGAAAGAAGCAAAAGAUACCAGAGAAUGAAGAACAUAAGAUAAGAGACGUGAGCCAUUAGAAAAAUCCCUGAAUGGCAAGAGAGAUCAACUAAGAAUAAUCUCUGUCCGCAUUGCAUCUUUUAUCCCAGUCAUCUUUGAUAUUUCUUUCAGUUGUUUAACGUCUUAAACAAGUCAGUUGACUUGGAAAAAUGAAUUUGAAGGACGUAAAUGGUUGACCCGUGAUUAAAUGAAAAAUUUCCAAACUCCCUUUCCACAACUAGGACUAAGAAAGCUUGACUCUGUAAUUCUCCUCUUGAAGUAAGAAUAGUAUUAAUAACGAAAAUGCUAAUAAAAAGGGGCCUUCAAACGUUGUUCACGUUUUUGGAGAAAUCUUAACAUUUGAUAAAGCUCUUUGCUUGAUGUUGCUAUGCUUGAAAUUUACAUAGACCUAAAUCUUGUAAGACAUGUCAUAUGGGCUCUCAUCUCUUAGUUGUAUAAAUAGCUGAGAUUUAAUUAUAGAAGAUGACUUGGCUUUUGAUUAAUUUUAAUAUGACUUUUGCACUCUCCAUAUCUCUCCUUAUCUUUCUCACGUCACUUUCCACAAAUAAAUCAAGGUUUUAUUAGGCAUUUUUUAGCUAUAGUGCUAGCUAUACCACCAAGAUUACUAAAUAAAGUUUACUAUGUCCCAAAGAAGUGCAACUCACGCCUUCAAUGAGUGAAAAAUUGAAAAUUGUAUCAGUGUUAUACGCUGAUAUUUAUCGAAAUGGACGUAUUAAUUCCUAAGCGGGAAAAUGUGCCUUUUCAUAGCUAAUGGGAUUACAAAGUUAGUAUACCGCGGAUGGUUGAAGAAUCUGCUGGUGAUCCUGGAGAAGACAAGAAAGGCUUGGGAGGAAUUUGCAAGGAACCAAGGGUUCCUUUCAACAUUUCCACCAAUCUACUCAUUGUUGGCCGGCUUGAGGGGUUAGUCUGUAUGCACCACAAGCUUACAAUUAUCAUCUUCCUUGCAUAUUCUAUACCUUCUUCAUUUUCACUGCCGUGCAAUCCAAGCGCUUCAUCCUUUUCAAGACGUUUGUAAAACCAAUGCAGAAAAUAUACGUCACUGCUUCCAUUAUCCCGAGCAUCAACGUUCUUUCUUGCUCCAAUCAUUUCAAAAAUCAUCAUUCCGUAGCUAUAAACAUGUGACUUGUAAGAGACUUCUCCAAUAUUUCUACAGACACUUCUGGAGCAAUAUACCCAACAUUUCCCCGUGCACCUGUCAUUGAGAUGAUACUUUCUUUCCUGUUGCAGAUUUUAUAUAGGCCGUGUUAUAACUCAUAACAGCUACACAAGAAAUUUCAAGAAGCACUUUGAUAAUUGGACUUGAAAGAACUGAUCAGAGUAAACCAAUCAAGAAAGAAAUCACAAGAAACAGAUUCAGAGCACAGUUUCAAGUACACAAAUUGAUGAAGGAAAAAACUGCUCUUUUAUUGAUCUCAACAAUCUAAUUACAAGCUAAUCACAAAGAAGAAAUUACAAGGAUCACAAUGAACCAAAUUGCAAGCAAAAUGAACAAGAAAUGAAGAAGAUAUCGAUAUGAUAUCAGAGGCUAGUCACAAGUGCCUUUUAUUCUGAUAUUUCUGGAAAAAGUCAUAACGAACUCUCAACGAAUUCUGCCACAUCAGCAUAAGUUUUUCAACUAGACCCCUCCAACUGAAGUCGAUCUGCACACUGCUCCAAGAAUUCUUCAAAUAUUACAUUUAAACCCAACGAACCAGCAACUUAUUUCCUCACUGGCCGAAAUCAGAGAUCUUGGGACAGAAGCCUUCAUCUAGGAGAAUGUUAUGGGGCUUGAUGUCAAAUGCAGAAUUCAUGUACUGCAGCCAAGGUGCAAGUGCUCUAAUCCUCGAGCUACGCCUACUACAAUUUGUAGCAAUGUUUCUCGUAUCAAUUCAUGAUUUUCCGUGGAUAAGCUGUUUCUAUAAAUGAACUUCUCGAGAGGAUCCAUUUGGACACAAACUCGUAGAUCAGAGCUCUUCUGUGUCCCUCGAAACAGAAUCUUAAAAGAGUGACAAUGUUAACAUGGGAAGUCCUGCUAAUGCUAGCAACCUCGUUGAUGAAUUCUUCACCAUUGCCUUUUGAAUUAUUUAAGAGCUUUACUUCCACAUUACUGAGAUAUCUCAAGAACACAAUAAACAUGUGUUUAAGAUUCAGAAAAUCAAAAUACUUUGAUAUCACUGCCUAUACUGAUGCAGAUUGGGCAAGUGAUCCUGAUGACAGGAGGUCAAUCAGUGGCUACUGUGUGUAUUUGGGUAAUAAUUUGGUGGCUUGGAGCUCAAGGAAACAAGGUGUAGUUGCUAGAUCCACUACAGAGUCUGAAUACAGAGUUAUGGCUCUGUGUAGUACUGAACUUACUUGGAUCAGUUCAUUGCUCAGUGAGCUGAAAUUAAAGGUUGAAGGAGUUCCAGUGAUUCUAAGUGACAGUACCAGUGCAGCAGCUAUAGCUAUGGUAUGAACAACUAGUAUUUGUUUUAACUAAUUUUUCCUUUCUUUUAUUCGUCUUGGUUGCUGCUUAUUUAUACAGAAAAACAUAAAGGAUACUACUAACUUGUAGCUUAAAAUCUUGGCGCCAGCCACAUAAAUCCUUAUUAACAUCUAGAUAAAAACAAAACAUAAAAAUAAAUUAAAUUCUCGGCAACAACUUUGACGUAGUCUUUUACUCCAAUAUCAAUUCCUCUCGUGCUCUUGUUCCAACUAACUCGCAUGAAAGAGUUACGUGGGAGAUCGAUUGCAUGGUUUGUAUGGGCAUGAUUUACAUGGUCAAACAAAGUCCAUAAGCUUGCUGCUAGGCUUUGAAACUCUAGCUGAUCUCCUUGGUUGUCUAACAAUUCGAUCUCCCAUGUAACUCUUUCAUGCGAGUUAGUUAGAACAAGAGCACAGGAGGAAUUGAUAUUGAAGUAAAAGACUACGUCAAAGUUGUUGCCGAGAAUUUAAUUUAUUUUUCUGUUUUGUUUUUAUCUAGAUGUUAAUAAGGAUUUAUGUGGCUGGCGCCAAGAUUUUAGGCUACAAGUUAGUAGUAUUCUUUAUGUUUUUCUGUAUAAAUAAGCGGCAACCAAGAUGAAUAAAAAAAAGGAAAAAUUAUUUAAAACAAAUACUGGUUGUUCAUACCAUAAAUUGAACAAAUAUCAGGCAUUGCUUUUCUGUAUUUGAUCGGGACCUAUCAUUGAUAUCAGAGACAUGAGUUUUGCAAUGUCUACCAACAAAGAGAGAAUUGAACGUGUCGAAACCGAGCUUGGCGGAAUGCAGAAUGAGAUACAACGAUUAGGUCAGGCCAUGAUCAGCAAACUAGCUGAGACAUUUAGCCAAUCCCAAAGAGCCCUAAGCCGGCACGAUCAAACAGGCACUUCACGAACGAGUUAAGGAGAGAGUGCAGGGGAACGACAGCUGAUUCCUCCACGAAUUGCCAAACUUGAUUUUCCCAAACAUUCAGGAGAUGACCCUACGGAGUGGGUCAACCGUGUCACGCAAUUUUUUUAUUAUCAAGAAACUAGUGAGGACCAGCGAGUUGUGCUAGCAUCUUACCACCUUGAAGGAGAAGCCAACCAGUGGUGGCAAUGGUUGCACCACGCCUACCAAGAAGAUGGACAAGCAGUAACAUGGAACACAUUUGUCGAGGAGAUGUGGGCGCGUUUCGGACCGACGGAAUGUGAAGAUUUUGACGAGGCCUUAUCUCACGUGCAACAAACUGGAACAUUGCAAGAUUAUCAAAAUGAGUUUGAGAGGCUGGGCAACAAGGUUCACGGAUGGACUCAGCGGGCGUUAGAAGGCACCUUCAUGGGAGGACUCAAACCCGAGAUUUCGGAGGAGAUCCACUUGUUUCGACCAAAAACUCUUAAGGAGGCCAUCAGCCUAGCACGAAUGAAAGAUGAACAGAUCGUGCGGCAACGAAAAUUAAUUCGGCCAAUAUUUUCCAAUCGGACAGCAAUAACAUCACCAGUUGUCAAUAAGAACUCACCGACAACACCAUUCAAGAUGCUUACUUGGGAGGAGAUGCAACGUCGCCGGGCACAGGGUUUGUGCUUCAACUGCAAUGAGAAAUUCACUACAGGUCAUCGGUGUAUUAAAGCUCAACUUCUAAUCUUAGAAGCCGAAGAAGAAUCUGAGGAAACUCUCGAAGCGGCGCCAACUGAGGAAGCAUCCUACGAUCCCAAGAUCACCUUCUAUGCCUUAACCGGCUGGACGGCACCACAAACGAUGCGCGUUAAGGCGAAAAUCGGGCCAUAUGAAAUUAUCGUGUUGAUUGACAGUGGAUCAACACAUAAUUUUAUUAGCACCCGCCUAGCAAACUUGCUAAAACUCCCUAUUAUACCAACGACUGCGUUUUCUGUCAAGGUUGCAAAUAGUGAAAAAUUGGCGUGUCAAUGGAAGUUUGAGAAGAUACAAAUUCUAAUCCAAGAUAUUCGUUUUCUCUAACGGUCUACGCACUGCCCAUAUCAGGAUUAGAUUUGGUAUUAGGAAUAUAGUGGCUCAAAGAAUUGGGAACAAUAAAAUGCAACUAGAAAUCUCUCACGAUGAAUUUCAAUUGGAACAAUAGGCCACGACAUCUACAAGGGCUCAAUCCUCAGUCUCUACAAACGACAACAAUAGCGGAGGUUAAUAAGGAGAUUAAACAGGGACACGGGGCAUUUGCAAUUUGCUUCCAAUUACAAUUAGAAGAGGUCACGACACCAGCAGCAAUGCAGGGGCUUUUACGAAAUUACAAGGAGCUAUUCCAGGAACCAACUCAACUUCCUCCUAAGCGCGAAAUUAACCAUUGUAUCACGCUUAAAGAGGGAACACAGCCUAUCAACGUUAGACCCUAUCGUUACGCACACUUCCAAAAAGAUGAAAUAGAAAAACAGGUGCAGGAGAUGCUUAAUUCUCGAUUAAUAAGGCCCAGCAUGAGUCCUUUCUCGUCACCGGUAUUACUUGUAAAAAAAAAAAAUGGAAGCUGGAGGUUUUGCACAUAUUACCGCGCCCUCAACGACGCCACCAUCAAGGACCGGUUUCCAAUUCCAACAGUUGACGAUAUGAUCGACGAGCUCUACGGAGCCGCCUAUUUUACGAAGCUAGACCUCCGUGCCUGUUACCACCAAGUUCGAGUCAAUCCACCGGAUAUUCACAAGACCACGUUCCGUACCCACAAUAGCCACUACGAAUAUCUAGUCAUGCCAUUCGGAUUAUGCAAUGCGCCGUCAACCUUUCAGGCGAUCAUGAACUCUAUUUUUCGGCUAUAUCUCAGGAAGUUUAUUUUGUUUUUUUUUUUAUGACAUACUGAUUUACAGUCCUACUUGGGACAGUCAUCUUGUUCAUGUGAAACGGGCAAUAGAGAUUCUCAAGCAACAAAAGUUUUUUCUCAAAUCUAGCAAAUGCACAUUCGGACAGCAGGAACUCGAGUACUUGGGGUAUAUUGUCACGUGUCACGGCGUCAAAGUAGACAACAAAAAAAUUACUGCUAUGCUCUCCUGGCACGCGCCACAAACCCUAACAGAGCUGCGAGGAUUUCUCGGAUUAACUGGGUAUUACCGAAAGUUUGUGCAAGGAUAUGGCGUCAUUGCUCGGCCUUUGAUCAACUUACUAAAAAAAAAUCAAUUUGGCUGGAGUAAGGAGGCAGAAAAAGCCUUUCGGAGACUCAAACAAGCAAUGUCCAGCACCCCCACAUUGGCUAUGCUAAACUUCCAAGACACUUUUAUUAUCGAAGUAUAUGCAUCAGGAGACGGAAUUGGGGCUGUUCUACAACAACAGGGCAGACCAAUUGCAUUUAUGAGUCGUGCAUUAGGGGUCUCAAAAAAAUCUUGGUCUAUUUACGCCAAGGAAAUGCUGGCCAUACUUGAAGCAAUACGAAUGUGGAGACCGUAUAUUUUGGGGCAGAAAUUUAUAAUUCAAACUGACCAGCAGAGUCUCAAGUACCAAUUGGAACAAAAAGCGGCAACCCCUGAGCAACAAAAGUGGUUGGCAAAGCUUAUGGGCUAUGAAUAUGAAAUCCUAUAUCGGCCAGGACGGGACAACACUGUCGCUGACACCCUCUCGCGACGACCCGACAGCCCAAUGAUGAAUUACUUAUUUGUCUCGCAGGUAACCCUUUGGGAAGAAAUUAAGACAGCUGCAACGGGUGACGAUUACAUUCAACAAGUUACCACACUUACUGAAACUCAACCAACGGGACCAUACACAGCAAAGAAUGGAUUAGUUUUCUACAAGGGCGGGUUGUGGUCCCUCACCAAAUACAUGACAAAUUGAUGUUUGAAGCUCACAACACUAGAAUCGGAAGGCAUUCUGGAGUCUUGCGUACUUAUAAGAGGUUGGCACAGCAGUUCUAUUGGCCAGCCAUGUUUCGUACAAUACAACAAUCCGUUAAUAAUUGUGAGACUUGCCAACGCAUAAAAGCCACUACUCUAAAACCAGCCAGGUUACUUCAGCCAUUGCCCAUACCUUGCCAAGUUUGGGAUGACAUUACGUUGGAAUUUAUUGAAGGGUUACCGAUGUCAUAGGGCAAGAACACCAUCUUUGUUGUCGUCGAUAGACUCAGUAAAUCAGCACACUUUAUGUCUUUGUCUCAUCCCUUCUCAGCAAAGACAGUGGCCGAACGGUUCAUAGAAGGCAUAUUCAAGUUGCAUGGCAUGCCAAAAUCUAUUGUGAGUGAUUGGGAUCCAAUCUUCAUUAGCAAGUUUUGGCAUGAGUUUUUCAAAAUGCCAGGUACAAAACUCAGCAUGAGUUCGGCUUAUCACCUACAAUCUAACGGCCAGACCGAGGUAAUUAACCGAUGUCUCGAGUAGUACCUACGGAGUUUUGUUCAUCAGUGGCCGCGUAAGUGGCAUGAAUAUCUACCUUGGGCUGAAUAUUGGUAUAACACGACAUAUCACAUAUCCACGGGCAUGACACCUUUCAAGGCACUGUAUGACUGGGACCCUCCCACAGUUCCGAAAUAUCAUAUGGGCACCUCACCGGUCAACGAGAUUGAUAAAGCACUGUUGACCAGAGAUGAGUUACUAGCCCAGCUCAAGUGUAAUUUGGCGAUUGCCACCAAUUGUAUGAAACAAAUAGCAGAUAAACACCGUAGAGAUGUGCAGUUUCAUAAAGAUGAUUUGGUGUUUUUAAAACUUCAUUCGUAUCGACAAACCUCUUUGUUUAAGCGAGUGCAUCAAAAGUUAGCAAGCAAGUUUUUUGGGCCCUAUCGUGUUUUGGAAAAAAUCGGGACCGUCGCCUACAAACUACAGUUGCAUGCCGGUGCCCGUGUUCAUCCAGUGUUCCAUGUGUCCUUACUCAAAAAAGCCAUGGGAGACUUAUCCGAGAAUAGCAGCGACAUUCCUCCAAUUGAUAAUGAGGGUGUGCUAAUGCUUGAACCUGCUGAAAUUUCAAACACACGAUGGUUAAAAUGUGGCGGGAAAUUCAUUGAACAGAGUUUAGUACGUUGGAAUAAAUUACCGGCAGAGGAGGCUACGUGGGAAGAUUCAACCGUGAUCUAGCAGCAGUUUCCAUCUAUGACCCUUGAGGACAAGGGUCCUCUUCCUGGCGGGGGCAUUGUUAGACAACCAAGGAGAUCAGCUAGAGUUUUAAAGCCUAGCAGCAAGCUUGUGGACUUUGUUUGACCAUGCAAACCAUGCCCAUGCAAACCAUGCAAUCGAUCUCCCACGUAACUCUUUCAUGCGAGUUAGUUGGAACAAGAGCACGGGAGGAUUUGAUAUUGGAGUAAAAGACUACGUCAAAGUUGUUGCCGAGAAUUUAAUUUAUUUUUUUGUUUUGUUUUUAUCUAGAUGUUAAUAAGGAUUUAUGUGGCUGGCGCCAAGAUUUUAGGCUACAAGUUAGUAGUAUCCUUUAUGUUUUUCUGUAUAAAUAAGCGGCAACCAAGACGAAUAAAAAAAAGGAAAAAUUGGUUAAAACAAAUACUGGUUGUUCAUACCAUAAAUUGAACAAAUAUCAGGCAUUGCUUUUCUGUAUUUGAUCGGGACCUAUCACUAUAGUUGCUAAUCUUGUAUAUCAUUCGAAAACUAAACAUUUCGAAAUUGAUCUCCAUUUUAUCAGAGAUAAAGUUAUGAAAGGUGAAAUAGAGAUAAGCUAUGUUGCUAGCAAGGACCAAACUGCAAAUGUUUUAACUAAGCCACUACCACAUCACAAACUCAGCCAUUUCAGAAGCAAACUCAAUGUCAUUGAUAAGACCUUGUGUUUGAGAGAGGGUGUUGAAAUUAGUGACUGUGAAAAGCCAACAGCUGACUCCAAUGAUAAGCUGGCAUGCCACCUCAGCUGCAGUCAAUUACAAUCUGAAAAUGUUGAAGAUGAGAUGGAUUUGCUAAGCUGGCAAAACGGAUAUGCUGAAGAUCCUCAGUACAUAUGCAUGCAGAAAUUACAUUUUUAGAAGCUUAAUAUGAUUGGCUGAGUUCUAUGAAUUGGUUAUUUUUGCUGAUUUACUCUGCUACCCUUUAAGCUAGCUGUUUCUCUUUCUUCUCUGUAUAUAAACGAACGUGAGCUUGUAUUUUAUAAUUCAAGUUGUCAUCUUUAAUGAAACAUUUGUGAUUCAUUCCUGCUUGCCAUACAUAAGCAAUUUCUAGCAAAUUUUAACUCUUGGAACAGAAGUCUUCAUCUAGGAGAAUGUUAUGAGGCUUGAUGUCAAAUGCAGAAUUCAUGUACUGCAGCCAAGGUGCAAGUGCUCUAAUCCUCGAGCUACGCCUACUACAAUUUGUAGCAAUGUUUCUCGUAUCAAUUCAUGAUUUUCCGUGGAUAAGCUGUUUCUAUAAAUGAACUUCUCAAGAGGAUCCAUUUGGACACAAACUCGUAGAUCAGAGCUCUUCUGUGUCCCUCGAAACAGAAUCUUAAAAGAGUGACAAUGUUAACAUGGGAAGUCCUGCUAAUGCUAGCAACCUCGUUGAUGAAUUCUUCACCAUUGCCUUUUGAAUUAUUUAAGAGCUUUACUUCCACAUUACGACCGUCAAAGUAGUUUUCCUUUGUAAACACCUCCAUAGCCUCCUUGGCCAAGUUGAUGUUUGAAAUAAUUGGUCAUUUUCUUAAUAUCUACAUAACAAUAUCUUUUAGGAGCCUGAGAUUCAUAAUUCCAUAAAAAUGUCUCAAUGUUGAGACAACUUUCAGUGGAAUUGUAUGAUGAAAGUUUUCUCCUGAAGUAAAAGGCUAUAAAUAUCAAUAUGCCAAUUGCAAUGGCUGAUGCUCCUGCAACCAGAGAAAGGAGUCACUGUCAACUUAAAAUUUCUUUCUCUACUUAAAGACAGAUGGAUGCUUCCCUCAAAACCAUGAGUAGAAGCCAAAAAAUAGUUCAGAAAAUUUUGGAUGGUCCAAAAAUUGUGCUAGCAGAUGUCCCUUGAUUCUAUUGAGAGUUGCAGGAAAACACAAGUGGCAGAGAAGAAAUUUGAAGCGAUUAUAAGGUAUCGGAAUUUAUUUGAAUGUAGAACAAUAGCAAAAAUAUAAUAAACGACGGACCUAAGCCGGACACUUGCCUUAGUCAAGUAGCAAUACACCAUUAAUGUAUUUGAUUAAAAAGAUACAUUACUGUUUUCUGAGUUUUCUGUUUCCUGCAACAGAAUUAAACAAAGACUGGUGUUAGUUGAGACUACGAAAAAAUGUCAUGAUGUUCUCAAAUCAUCCAAAUUUUGACAAAAUUGGACAGGCAACUGACAUAAUAGCCAAUCUCAACCAGAUACAGAACUUGCUGCAACAAAUCUGCUGCUUUCUCCAAAUACAGGUAAAGGGACAGCCCAAAUCCAACAAAUAAAUAAAAAGAGACUGAAAAAUAGGAACUCGUUUUGUUGCAUGUUAUUAGAUUAGACAUAGCUUAUGUAAAUGUACAAAAAGAAAAAAAAUAAAAAUUACUAACUCGGAGCAGAUAGUGUUUUGUUCUUAGAAUAACAAAGAACACAAGAAACGAGUAAGAAGCCAUUAAUAUUCCGAAUUCCCAAUAUGGCUGGAGAAAUCAACUAAUAAACUACUAAGAAUAUUCUUAAUCAACUAAUAAACUACUCAGAAUAAUCUUUGUAAUUCUGAAUAAUCUUUGGAAUGGCUUCAGGCUCUACCUCGAGCCUUAGUUGCUGGAUUUGUGAAGACUGACAAGGAAUUUCAGAGUAGAGGCAUGGAACUGUCCCUUGUUCUUAUUUUCAUUCUUGCACUUCUUUUUUAUUUCCCAUCUUUGACUUUUUGUUGUAAAUCAAGCAAAAGUAAUGUUGCUAUACUUGUUCAAUCAUCUUCAGGAGAAACAUCUGGGACCACAGCUACAUUUGUUAUAGUUGACAGAUGGACUGCGACUGUUGCAUCUGUUGGAGAUUCUCGUUGUAUAUUGGAUGCUCAGGGUGGGGCUGUUUCCACCUUGACUGUAGAUCAUAGGGUUGAAGAGAAUGUGGAAGAGUGCGUUUCUAUAUCAAAGCUUUAUUUCUUCCCUUAUUCUGGAUAGACUUUUUAGUUGGUUAUGCUGCAACUGCAGGAGGGAACGCGUUACUGCAAGGUGGGGGGGGGGGGGGGGGGGGGGGGUGAAGUUGGGAGGCUUAGCAUUGUUGGAGGUGCUGAGGUAAGGUGUUUUAACAUAUUGGUCUCAAGUCUUAUUCAUUGGUCUUAAAGUAAAGGGCAACAAAAUAGAAAAAAUCUAUCCUGCAGUUUGUAACAAAAUUUGCAUAACCUAGACAGAUUGGUCCCCUCCGUUGCUGGCCUGGUGGUUUAUGCAUUUCUAGGUCAAUUGGAGACAUGGAUGUCGGGGAAUUUAUAGUACCAAUACCAUACGUCAAACAAGUAAAGGUAUCCGCCCUCCCCCUUUUUUUGGGGGGGGUUUCUAGAUCAUGUUUUUCACUUGUGAUUCUUUUCCAUCUUCGACUGUGUUACCCGUGAUUUUGAGAUGGAAUUGCUUGGUCUAUCUUCAGCAUGAACUCUUACUUUCUUCAUUGUUUUAAAAGCUAUCAAAUGCAGGUGGAAGGCUUAUUAUUGCUUCUGAUGGAAUCUGGGAUGCCCUAUCCUCAGAAAUGGCUGCACAAUGUUGCCGUGGAUUGCCGGCUGAACUCGCUGCCAGACAAGUGGUGAAGGUAAUUUAAUUUGUUGUUUUACUACGUAUUUGUUGCCAGUUCCUUUUAGAAGAACGUGCUAACAUAGCUUUUGAGUAGUUUAUUGUUGUUCAGAUGAUUGCUUAGAAUGUUUUCUCACUGUAUUUGAUAGAUCACUAUUUAGGAAGCAUUUAGGAGAAGGGGACUGAAGGAUGAUACAACUUGCAUAGUUGUUGACAUAAUUCCUCCUGACAAUACGAUGCAGCCUCAGCCUCCUCCCAAAAAGCAGAAUAAGCUGAGAGCA